rnacentral:lncRNA from 1 species
CUGCAGACCCCUCCUCGCCCCCAGCCAGAGAAAGCGGCGUGGUUCACAGGCCCAGCGCAGGCCUCCUGUAUCCUUCUGACGCAGCGGGGGACGCGGGCACCAGGAACACGACGGCUGUCUCAGUCCUGCUGUCAGGCUGCCUCUUCCUCUCGGUUCUUAGAUCUCGUCGGUCCUCGUACGCAGGCGAACACUGACAGUUCCUUCAACAGCUCGCAGAUAAUGAAAGAAUCCCGGACCAAGAAGUUCCUGGAAGAUCAAGUCAUAAUUGCUAACAUUCACGGAGAGUUGUUAA